AGGACCCCCAGAUCCCGUUGUACUUCCCCUUUUCCCCCUUCCCAUUUAGAAAGAUGAGGUUCCAUGUCUCAACUCAUCCAAUGCAUGUUUGAGCUCAGUAAAUUCCCAUUUUCCUUUGCCGAAUAAGGUUUGACAAGAUGUGUUUUACACUGACACAAACACUUUCAACAGAAGUGAUGUCUGAACCCUGAGUAGAAGAGGAAGAGGAAGGUCCUGUAGUUUCAUAAGACACAGCGUGAGACUGGGGAAGUCAGUGUGUCACCGUGCUUGGAGCUUUGCUGCCCAGUCUCUGGACUCGUUCACCAUCAGUCUCUUCCCACAAGAGAAUGUACAAAAUGAGGCCGAGGUCUCUCUGCAACAGUUUGCCAGCUGGUUUGAUGUUCAGUUUCUUUGUUUUCCUGCUUCAACCAGUUUCCACACAGAAAAACAGAAAUCGAAUGUAUUUCUUGGAUAAUGGA